rnacentral:rRNA from 1 species
AGUGAACGCUGGCGGUAGGCCUAACACAUGCAAGUCGAACGGCAGCACAGUAAGAGCUUGCUCUUACGGGUGGCGAGUGGCGGACGGGUGAGGAAUACAUCGGAAUCUACUUUUUCGUGGGGGAUAACGUAGGGAAACUUACGCUAAUACCGCAUACGACCUACGGGUGAAAGCAGGGGAUCUUCGGACCUUGCGCGAUUGAAUGAGCCGAUGUCGGAUUAGCUAGUUGGCGGGGUAAAGGCCCACCAAGGCGACGAUCCGUAGCUGGUCUGAGAGGAUGACCGGCCCAACUGGACCUGAGACCCGGUCCGGACCCCUACGGAGGCAGCAGUGGGGAAUAUUGGACAAUGGGCGCAAGCCUGAUCCAGCCAUACCGCGUGGGUGAAGAAGGCCUUCGGGUUGUAAAGCCCUUUUGUUGGGAAAGAAAAGCAGCAGGUUAAUACCCCGCUGUUCUGACGGUACCCAAAGAAUAAGCACCGGCUAACUUCGUG